rnacentral:tRNA from 2 species
GGGGAGGUGCCAGAGUGGACGAUUGGGGCCGCCUGCUAAGCGGCUGUGGGGCUAAUAACUCCACCCAGGGUUCGAAUCCCUGCCUCCCCGCCA